GAUGAACGCUGGCGGCGUGCCUAAUACAUGCAAGUCGAGCGAAUGGAUUAAGAGCUUGCUCUUAUGAAGUUAGCGGCGGACGGGUGAGUAACACGUGGGUAACCUGCCCAUAAGACUGGGAUAACUCCGGGAAACCGGGGCUAAUACCGGAUAACAUUUUGAACCGCAUGGUUCGAAAUUGAAAGGCGGCUUCGGCUGUCACUUAUGGAUGGACCCGCGUCGCAUUAGCUAGUUGGUGAGGUAACGGCUCACAAAGGCAACGAUGCGUAGCCGACCUGAGAGGGUGAUCGGCCACACUGGGACUGAGACACGGCCCAGACUCCUACGGGAGGCAGCAGUAGGGAAUCUUCCGCAAUGGACGAAAGUCUGACGGAGCAACGCCGCGUGAGUGAUGAAGGCUUUCGGGUCGUAAAACUCUGUUGUUAGGGAAGAACAAGUGCUAGUUGAAUAAGCUGGCACCUUGAUGGUGCCUAACCAGAAAGCCACGGCUAACUACGUGCCAGCAGCCGCGGUAA
rnacentral:rRNA from 1 species